CAGUCGCCGCGGUAAUACGUAGGUGACAAGCGUUGUCCGGAAUUAUUGGGCGUAAAGGGCUCGCAGGCGGUUUCUUAAGUCUGAUGUGAAAGCCCCCGGCUCAACCGGGGAGGGUCAUUGGAAACUGGGAAACUUGAGUGCAGAAGAGGAGAGUGGAAUUCCACGUGUAGCGGUGAAAUGCGUAGAGAUGUGGAGGAACACCAGUGGCGAAGGCGACUCUCUGGUCUGUAACUGACGCUGAGGAGCGAAAGCGUGGGGAGCGAACAGGAUUAGAUACCCCAGUAGUCCCUGUCUCUUAUAC
rnacentral:rRNA from 1 species